UAUAGGUUUGGUCCCAGCCUUCCUGUUAACUUUCAAUAGACUUAUACAUGCAAGCAUCCACGCCCCGGUGAGUAACGCCCUUCGAAUCACACAGGACUAAAAGGAGCAGGUAUCAAGCACACACUCUUGUAGCUCACAACGCCUUGCUUAACCACACCCCCACGGGAGACAGCAGUAACAAAAAUUAAGCCAUAAACGAAAGUUUGACUAAGCCAUAUUGACUAGGGUUGGUAAAUCUCGUGCCAGCCACCGCGGUCAUACGAUUGACCCAAGCUAACAGGAGUACGGCGUAAAGCGUGUUAAAGCAUCAUACUAAAUAGAGUUAAAUUUUAAUUAAACUGUAAAAAGCCAUAAUUAUAACAAAAAUAAAUGACGAAAGUAACCCUACAAUAGCUGAUACACCAUAGCUAAGACCCAAACUGGGAUUAGAUACCCCACUAUGCU
rnacentral:rRNA from 1 species